UGGCUCAGGAUGAACGCUAGCGGCAGGCUUAACACAUGCAAGUCGAGGGGCAGCGGGGAGGAAGCUUGCUUUCUCCGCCGGCGACCGGCGCACGGGUGAGUAACACGUAUGCAACCCGCCCCUGUCAGGGGGACAACCCGCCGAAAGGCGGGCUAAACCCGCGUACAUGCCACCGGGGCAUCCCGGAGGCAGGAAAGGCUUCGGCCGGACAGGGAUGGGCAUGCGGCGCAUUAGGCAGUAGGCGGGGUAACGGCCCACCUAACCGACGAUGCGUAGGGGUUCUGAGAGGAAGGUCCCCCACACUGGUACUGAGACACGGACCAGACUCCUACGGGAGGCAGCAGUGAGGAAUAUUGGUCAAUGGUCGGGAGACUGAACCAGCCAAGCCGCGUGAGGGAUGAAGGUACAGAGUAUCGUAAACCUCUUUUGUCAGGGAACAAAGGCGGGGACGUGUCCCCGGAUGAGUGUACCUGAAGAAAAAGCAUCGGCUAACUCCGUGCCAGCAGCCGCGGUAAUACGGAGGAUGCGAGCGUUAUCCGGAUUUAUUGGGUUUAAAGGGUGCGCAGGCGGUCUGUUAAGUCAGCGGUCAAAGCCCGGGGCUCAACCCCGGCCCGCCGUUGAAACUGGCAGUCUCGAGUUGGAGAGAAGUAUGCGGAAUGCGCGGUGUAGCGGUGAAAUGCAUAGAUAUCGCGCAGAACUCCGAUUGCGAAGGCAGCAUGCCGGCUCCACACUGACGCUGAGGCACGAAAGCGUGGGUAUCGAACAGGAUUAGAUACCCUGGUAGUCACGCAGUAAACGAUGAAUGCUGGCUGUCCGGGGGGGAUUGACCCCUGGGUGGCGAAGCGAAAGCGAUAAGCAUUCCACCUGGGGAGUACGCCGGCAACGGUGAAACUCAAAGGAAUUGACGGGGGCCCGCACAAGUGGAGGAACAUGUGGUUUAAUUUGAUGAUACGCGAGGAACCUUACCCGGGCCCAAACGGGGAGUGACUCAGGCAGAGACGCCUGUUUUCCACGGGACACUCCCUGAGGUGCUGCAUGGUUGUCGUCAGCUCGUGCCGUGAGGUGUCGGCUUAAGUGCCAUAACGAGCGCAACCCCCGCUGUGCAGUUGCUAACAGAUAACGCUGAGGACUCUGCACGGACUGCCGGCGCAAGCCGCGAGGAAGGCGGGGAUGACGUCAAAUCAGCACGGCCCUUACGUCCGGGGCGACACACGUGUUACAAUGGGUGGUACAGCGGGAAGCCAGGCGGCGACGCCGAGCGGAACCCGAAAUCCACUCUCAGUUCGGAUCGGAGUCUGCAACCCGACUCCGUGAAGCUGGAUUCGCUAGUAAUCGCGCAUCAGCCAUGGCGCGGUGAAUACGUUCCCGGGCCUUGUACACACCGCCCGUCAAGCCAUGGGAGCCGAGGGCGCUUGAAGUGCGUCGCCGCGAGGCGCGCCCUAGAGCGAAAUCGGUGACUGGGGAUAAGUCGUAACAAGGUA
rnacentral:rRNA from 1 species